GUGGAUUUGGGGUAUAGCAUAUAGAUCAUUAAUCUAUGGUCAUCUUAUGAUUAGGAACGGUGGUUGUUAAUGGUUGGACGGAGGCAGCAGCUAGGCCCAUCAGCUAGCUCGUCCUCAUUCAAUACCCCAACCGGAAGUCUCUCAGUUUUACCACAUCUGGACCAGAGCGUCUGCAGCCUCUCCUUCUCUCUCCAAAAUGUUCUUAUCUUUCACAGUAAAGGGCAGGCUACACCUACACCUUCUUCCUAUCCUAUGAUGAUUCCAUUCCCACAUAACCACAACCUGAAAGUGCAACUCCAUUUCAAGCUUAUGAUUAUGAAACAAACAUCAAUUUGAACACCCAGAAGAAUAAUAACACUCUCUUCUUUCAUUUUAACGCAACUACGUACUACUCUUUCGUUAACAGAAUGAGCCAGUGUGUUCCUAGCUGGGAUCUCGAUGAGUAUCCCUCUCCUGCCAAGCAAUCCCUUCGUUCCAACUCCAAUUCAACCGCACCUGAUGUCCCUAUGUAUAUUAAAUCUCUUCCUCUUCUCUCUAAAUCAUCUUUUGUGUUUGAUGAUAUAUAUAUGUUUUUAAUUUGGAUUCGAUGCAACUCACAUUUUUAAGUUGUCCAAAUGAUGGAUGUUGAUUAUACUUGUGGUGUUUUUGUUCAGGUUACACUACGAGGUAGCAGAGCUGACAUGGGAGAACGGCCAAUUAGCCAUGCACGGACUAGGUCCACCUCGAGUGCCUGUAAAACCCAUGGCUUCCACCUCUCCUUCCAAGUACAACAGCUGGGACAAGCCACGCGCCAAUGGAACCCUCGAAUCCAUAGUCAAUCAAGCUACUCGUUUGCCCCAACGUAAGCCUGGUUUGCAGACUAGUGGAUGUGGUGAAGAGCUUGUCCCAUGGUUCGAACACAACCGGGCAGCAGCACCAGCCGCCUCAUCUACUAUGACUAUGGACGCCAUGGUCCCUUGCUCGAACCGGAAGAACGAACGUACAGCACACGUGAUGGGCAAUUGUGUGGUGGGUAGUACCACUCCCAUGGGGUCGUGCAGUGGCCCAGCCGCCACUCAAGAUGAGGAGGCUCUCCCCAACGGGAAACGCCCGAGGGUGGCGCGUGUCCCUGUGGCACCUGAAUGGAGCAGCAGGCAAAGCGUGAGUGGAAGCGCAACUUUUGGGAGGGAUAGCCAGCACGUGACGCUGGACACGUGCGAGAGGGACCUGGGUGGGGGUUUCACUUCCACUUCUUUUGGGUCGCAGGAACACACCAGCUGCUGUAAGACUGGAACCAAGACGGCCACCGUAGACGAGAAUGACUCAGUUUGUCACAGUACACCACAGAGGGAGGCAGGUGAUGAGGAGGAGAAGAAGAAAGGGAACAGGAAAUCCUCAGUUUCAACUAAGAGAAGUAGGGCUGCUGCUAUUCAUAAUCAAUCUGAACGUAAAAGGAGAGAUAAGAUAAACCAAAGGAUGAAGACACUGCAGAAGCUGGUCCCAAAUUCCAGUAAGACGGACAAAGCAUCGAUGCUGGAUGAAGUGAUAGAAUAUCUGAAACAAUUGCAAGCACAAGUACAAAUGAUGAGUAGAAUGACCAUGCAGCCAUUGAUUUUGCCAAUGGCAAUGCAACAGCAACUCCAAAUGUCUAUGAUGGCUCCAAUGAACAUGGGCAUGGGUGUAGGAAUGGGAAUGGCCGGUGUCAAUGUCAUGGACAUGAAUUCAGUUGCUCGUCCCAAUAUUGCUGGUCUCUCUUCAGUGCUUCCUCCAACUGCUUUCGUGCCCAUGACUUCGUGGGAUGGCUCCGGUGACCGCUUACAAUCUGCGCCUUCAGGCACAGUUAUGCCGGAUCCAUUGUCUGCAUUCCUUGCAUGCCAGUCACAGCCGAUGCCCAUAGAUGCUUACAGUAGGAUGGUUGCCAUAUACCAGCAGCUACAACAGCAACCUCCUGCUUCUAGCUCCAAGAGUUAAUAUGCAAAGCCAUAUGUAAAAUCUGCGUAUAGUUGCUGGCCACAGACAAAUAUAUAUAGCAUCAUGUGGCUGUGUUCUAGCUCUUGCUGAUGCUUCUUUGUGGGUAAACAAUCGAUACAACCUGAACCACUACUGUAUUUUUUUUCCCCUCUUUUUCAUUCAUUAAUCUGCGGCCUAUUUAGUGCGUUUGCACCCUUUUUUUUUUCUUAACUUCUCCCCUCUAAUGACAAUGUAUAUAUCUUAUUUUUUAAAACCAUAUAUAUAUAUAUAUAUACCCAAACUCCUCUCAAACCCGUUUAAAAUUUACUUUUUACUACCUAUACCCGUCUCAAACCCGUUUACUACUACUUGUAUACUACGCUAACUCACCUGAACCUUUUUUGUUUUUUAAUUUUUACUGUAAAUUUAAUAUGGCAGAACCAACACCAGCUAAAAGGAAUCUCUCUCUCCCAUCAAAGACAAACAGAGAAGAAAAACAGAAAACAGAGAAUGAAUCAUGCUUGUGUAGAGAUCUAUUUAAUUAUGACCCCAAGUUUUCG
rnacentral:misc_RNA from 1 species